CCCUAUAGCGCAAUGGAUAGCGCGUUGGACUUCUAGUCCGAAGGUCGGGGUUCAUUCUCCCGUGGGUUGG